rnacentral:rRNA from 1 species
UUUUUGCCUCAAUUAUGUAUGAGUACCCGCUGAACUUAAGCAUAUCGUUAAGCGGAGGAAAAGAAACUAAAUAGGAUUUCCGUAGUAACUGCGAGUGAACUGGAAUUAGCCCAUCACGAAAUCUAUAUUACAUUCGUAAUAUCGAAAUGUCGUGUAUAGGUUUUAUUAUUAUUGAUAUAAUAUUAUUAAAUAAUUGUAUUUAAAUAUACAGCCACAGAAGGUGCCAGCCCUGUUGUUUAAUAAUAUUUAUCAAAUUUAUAAAACUUUAGAGUCGUGUUGCUUGGAAGUGCAGCGCAAAGUUGGUGAUAAACAUCAUCUAAGGCUAAAUAUUCCUAUGAAUCCGAUAGCGAACAAGUACUGUGAAGGAAAAUUGCAAAGUACUCCGGAGAGAGAGUUAAAGAGGACGUGAAACCGAUACGAUGGAAGCAUACAGAGCCAGUUGCACUAUUAUUAAUAUUUAUUAAUAAUUUUAAGCAUGGGUAUAUUGAUAUGAUAAUUAGUUAUUUAUUAAAGAGUGAUAAAAAUAUUUUAUUUUUGUUAACUUUAAUAAAAUAAUUAUAUUAUUAAUUAAUAUUUAUAUUAUCAAUUUAUUAAUAAUAUAAUAUUUUAUUAAUAUUAUAUAAGACACAUGUGUUAAAUAUAAUUUAUUAAUAAUUAUUAUAUUAUUAUAUAUUGAUAUUCCUAUGUAAUCCUGGUAUGCUGUAUGUCCCGUCUUGAAACACGGACCAAGGAGUGUAUUGCUAUGGCAAGUCAUUGAUAUUGUUAAUAUCAAAGGCGUAAUGAAAAUAAUUUUAAUCUCUGAUCUUUUGAUUUUAUUAUCAUUAGCGCAUGAGAAACGUAAAUAUAUGAUAUAAUCAUUUUUUGCAGUUAUAGCCAUAGUAGUGCGACCCGAAAGAUGGUGAACUAUACUAGUGCAGGGUGAAGUCAGAAGAAAUUCUGAUGGAAGCUCGAAGCGGUCCUGACGUGCAAAUCGGUCGUCUGACAUUAGUAUAGGGGCGAAAGACUAAUCGAACCAUCUAGUAGCUGGUUCCGGCCGAAGUUUCCCCCAGGAUAGCUGAAACUGAUAUACAGAUACAUCCGGUAAAGCUAAUGUUUAGAGGAAUAGGGAAUAAUAUAUUCUUUAUCUAUUUACAAACUAUAAAUGGGUGUGAUAUUAUGAUUGCUUAAUUGAAUCAUAAUUUCGAUUGUAUAGUUUCAAGUGGGCCAUUUUUGGUAAGCAGAACUGGCGACGUGGGAUGAACCAAAAGUAUUGUUAAAGUGCCUAAAUUUUUGCUCAUCAGACCCCAUAAAAAGUGUUGUUUGAUCCUGACAGCAGGGCGGUGGCCAUGGAAGUCGGAAUCCGCUAAGGAUCGUGUAACAACUCACCUGCCGAAUCAAGCAGCCUUGAAAAUGGAUGGCGCUUGAGCAAAAUACUUAGACAAUACCAUAUAUUUAUUUUUUUUUAAAAAAAAUAUAUGUGUAGGCUGGCGUGAUAAUAGCAUUGAAGGUUAUAAGCGUAAGCUUGACUGGAGCUGUUAUUAGUGCAGAUCUUGGUGAUAGUAGCAAAUACACAAGUGAGAAUCUUGUGGACCGAAGUGGAAAAGGGUUUCACGUCAACAUCAUUUGACUGUGAGUUAGUCGGUCCUAAGCUAAAAUUGAAAAAUUUUUAUUCAUAUAUAGCGAAAGGGAAAUAGAUUAAUAUUUCUAUACUAUCUAUGGAGAUAAUAUAGGAUAAUAACUAUAUUAUGCAUGGUAACAUAAAUGAAAUUAACUACAAUAUAACAAGUUUUGGGUAGAGAUAUCUUCUCUAUUUAAGUUAUUAAAUCUAUGGAAAUUGCUCAGCAAGAGAUAUAGAUGAAAUUUUAACGUAGAGUACUAACAUUUUGUUGGUAUCCAAAGUGCUUGUUAUAUUACUUAAAAAGUUAAUGGAAGCAUAAUAAAUUUCAUAGAAUAACCGUACCCAUAUCCGCAACAGGUUUCCAAGAUGUUUAGUCUCUGGUCGAUGAAAUAAUGUAGGUAAGGGAAGUCGG